rnacentral:snRNA from 1 species
AUACUUACCUGGUACCCAGGCCUCGUUAAUCACUCAGAACGAUCCACCAGAGCGAUGCGCGGGCAUUGCACUGCGCUCCCGUUAACCCCUGCCACUACCCCAAACUGGGGCAGAUGGGGAAUGCAAAUUGC